UACGAAGGGGGCUAGCGUUGCUCGGAAUCACUGGGCGUAAAGGGUGCGUAGGCGGGUCUUUAAGUCAGGGGUAAAAUCCUGGAGCUCAACUCCAGAACUGCCUUUGAUACUGAGGAUCUUGAGUUCGGGAGAGGUGAGUGGAACUGCGAGUAUAGAGGUGAAAUUCGUAGAUAUUCGCAAGAACACCAGUGGCGAAGGCGGCUACCUGGACCGGUUCUGACGCUGAUGCGCGAAAGCGUGGGGAGCAAACAGG
rnacentral:rRNA from 1 species